UGUUCGGGUUAUCGACACCAAAGUGA
rnacentral:sRNA from 1 species